rnacentral:rRNA from 1 species
UACGUAGGGGGCGAGCGUUGUCCGGAUUCAUUGGGCGUAAAGCGCGCGUAGGCGGCCCGGCAAGUCGGCCGUGAAAUCUCCCAGCUCAACUGGGAGGGGUCGGGCGAGACUGCGGGGCUCGAGGUGGGCAGAGGGCAGUGGAAUUCCGGGUGUAGUGGUGGAAUGCGUAGAGAUCCGGAGGAACACCAGUGGCGAAGGCGGCUGCCUGGGCCUGGCCUGACGCUGAGACACGAAAGCGUGGGGAGCAAACAGG